UACAGAGGUCUCAAGCGUUGUUCGGAUUCAUUGGGCGUAAAGGGUGCGUAGGCGGCGCGGUAAGUCGGGUGUGAAAUCUUGGAGCUUAACUCCGAAACUGCAUUCGAUACUGCCGUGCUUGAGGACUGGAGAGGAGACUGGAAUUUACGGUGUAGCGGUGAAAUGCGUAGAUAUCGUAAGGAAGACCAGUGGCGAAGGCAGCUCGCUGGGACGGUACUGACGCUGAGGCGCGAAAGCGUGGGGAGCAAACAGG
rnacentral:rRNA from 1 species